GAGUUUGAUCGUGGCUCAGAUUGAACGCUGGCGGCAUGCCUUACACAUGCAAGUCGAACGGCAGCAUGAUCUAGCUUGCUAGAUUGAUGGCGAGUGGCGAACGGGUGAGUAAUACAUCGGAACGUGCCCUGUAGUGGGGGAUAACUAGUCGAAAGAUUAGCUAAUACCGUAUACGACCUGAGGGUGAAAGUGGGGGACCGCAAGGCCUCAUGCUAUAGGAGCGGCCGAUGUCUGAUUAGCUAGUUGGUGGGGUAAAGGCCCACCAAGGCGACGAUCAGUAGCUGGUCUGAGAGGACGAUCAGCCACACUGGGACUGAGACACGGCCCAGACUCCUACGGGAGGCAGCAGUGGGGAAUUUUGGACAAUGGGCGAAAGCCUGAUCCAGCAAUGCCGCGUGUGUGAGAAGGCUC
rnacentral:rRNA from 1 species